rnacentral:rRNA from 1 species
AAUUUAUUAAAAGUUGAACAAACUUACUAAAAUAUAUUUUAUUUUAAUUAGUUAAAUUAAUUCAACAUCGAGGUAAUAAUCUAAAUUUUUAAUUUAAUCUAUCAAAUUUAAUUAUC